UGGGGAAUAUUUCACAAUGGGGGAAACCCUGAUGCAGCGACGCCGCGUGAACGAAGAAGGUAUUCGUAUCGUAAAGUUCUGUCCUAUGGGAAGAUAAUGACAGUACCAUAGAAGAAAGCUCCGGCUAAAUACGUGCCAGCAGCCGCGGUAAUACGUAUGGAGCGAGCGUUGUCCGGAAUUAUUGGGCGUAAAGGGUACGCAGGCGGUUUAAUAAGUCGAAUGUUAAAGAUCGGGGCUCAACCCCGUAAAGCAUUGGAAACUGAUAAACUUGAGUAGUGGAGAGGAAAGUGGAAUUCCUAGUGUAGUGGUGAAAUACGUAGAUAUUAGGAGGAAUACCAGUAGCGAAGGCGACUUUCUGGACACAAACUGACGCUGAGGUACGAAAGCGUGGGGAGCAAACAGG
rnacentral:rRNA from 1 species